CUACAGUAGAACCUACUGCUAAAAGGGAUAAUACUGUAGGCAAUUUCUCUUGCAUGUGCCGUGUUUGUAGUUGGUAAUAGAUGCCAACAGACCAGAAUACACAUUUGUUCUCUAGAUAGCCAAGAGGACAGUGCUUGAGUCAUGGGGAAGUUGAUGGUCUUAUCACAAGGUCGUUCCUCUUUACAGGGAUGUAGUUCUUCUACUUGUUUACUCAGACUAAUCGCGAACCGUUUAGUGCAUGCACUGUACAGCCUCGUGGAAACAAUGGCGGCUUUGGCAACGGCAUAGGGCACAUCCAUAAA